CCUCUCUCAAGGUCACACCUGGAGAGCUUCCAAUACUCUAUCAGCGUCGGCUAUGGGAGGGAGAGUCAAGCAAAGGGCUACCUAUUCCAUUCCUAGCUUGGGCAGUGGCUAGCGAGUGGAAGGCAAUCUGCUACAAGU